GACGAACGCUGGCGGCGUGCUUAACACAUGCAAGUCGAACGAGAAAGCACCUUCGGGUGUGAGUACAGUGGCAAACGGGUGAGUAACGCGUGGGAAACCUGCCCUUUGGUUGGGGACAACACUCCUAACGGGGUGCUAAUACCGAAUAAGCUCUUAUUAUCGCAUGGUGAUUUGAGGAAAGGCGGCCUCUGCUUGCAAGCUGUCACCAAAGGAUGGUCCCGCGUCCCAUUAGCUAGUUGGUAAGGUAAUGGCCUACCAAGGCAUCGAUGGGUAGCCGGCCUUAGCGGGUGACCGGCCACACUGGGACUGAGAUACGGCCCAGACUCCUACGGAGGCAG
rnacentral:rRNA from 1 species